rnacentral:misc_RNA from 1 species
CGCACAUUGCGCCCUUUGGCAUUCCGAAGGGCAUGCCCGUUCGAGCGUCAUUAAAUCCAAUCAAGCCCGGCUUGGUGUUGGGCGGUAGGGUUUCCCUACGCCUCAAUUUCCCCGGCUGGCCGCCGCCUGUCUUUAGCGUUGUGACACAUUUUCGUUAAAUGCAGGGGCGGUGCACGCCGUUAGAAUUCAACAAAGCUCUCACGAACUUUGAUUAAGGUUGACCUCGGAUCGGGUAGGAAUACCCGCUGAACUUAA